rnacentral:rRNA from 1 species
CGGUUGAUCCUGCCGGACCUGACUGCUAUCGGAUUGGUACUAAGCCAUGUGAGUCAUUGUAGCAAUACAAGGCAUACGGCUCAGUAACACGUAGUCAAUCUAACCUAUGGACGUGGAUAACCUCGGGAAACUGAGAAUAAUCCGCGAUAGAUCAUUAAUCCUGGAACGGUUUAUGGUCCAAAUGAUUCGUCGCCGUAGGAUGGGACUGCGGCCUAUCAGCUUGUUGGUGAGGUAAUGGCCCACCAAGGCUAUUACAGGUACGGGCUCUGAGAGGAGAAGCCCGGAGAUGGGUACUGAGACACGGACCCAGGCCCUAUGGGGCGCAGCAGGCGAGAAACCUUUGCAAUGUGCGCAAGCACGACAAGGUUAAUCCGAGUGUUUCCUGCUAAAGGAAUCUUUUGUUAGUUCUAAAACCACUAUCGAAUAAGGGGUGGGCAAGUUCUGGUGUCAGCCGCCGCGGUAAAACCAGCACCUCAAGUGGUCAGGAGGAUUAUUGGGCCUAAAGCAUCCGUAGCCGGUUCUGUAAGUUUCCGGUUAAAUCCACUAGCUCAACUAGUGGGCUGCCGGAAAUACUGUAGAACUAGGGAGUGGGAGAGGUAGACGGUACUCGGUAGGAAGGGGUAAAAUCCUUUGAUCUAUUGAUGACCACCUGUGGCGAAGGCGGUCUACCAGAACACGUUCGACGGUGAGGGAUGAAAGCUGGGGGAGCAAACCGGAUUAGAUACCCGGGUAGUCCCAGCUGUAAACGAUGCAGACUCGGUGAUGCACUGGCUUG